AGUGGGGGAGAUAUAUUACUUCUAAUAAUUGAAAGUCGCUUUAUUCGACCACCCCAUUA
rnacentral:tRNA from 1 species